rnacentral:lncRNA from 1 species
CCUAUGCCCGUAUUAAUCCCUAAACUCUAAGCUACUAUCUAAACCCUAAACCCUAAAAUAUAAAAUUUAAACCCUAAACCAUACGCCCUCUUAACCCAUAUACUCUAUGCCCGUAUUAAUCCUUAAACUCUAAGCUACUAGCUAAACCCUAAACAAUAAACAAUAAACACUAAACCAUAAACCCACACCCUACACCCUAAACCAUAAACACUAAAUCAUAAACUGCAUACUUUAAACCAUAAACCUAC